GGAAUAUUGGUCAAUGGGCGCGAGCCUGAACCAGCCAAGUAGCGUGCAGGACGACGGCCCUAUGGGUUGUAAACUGCUUUUAUGCGGGGAUAAAGUGACGUACGUGUACGUUUUUGUAGGUACCGCAUGAAUAAGGACCGGCUAAUUCCGUGCCAGCAGCCGCGGUAAUACGGAAGGUCCGGGCGUUAUCCGGAUUUAUUGGGUUUAAAGGGAGCGCAGGCCGGUGUGUAAGCGUGACGUCAAAUACAGCCGCUCAACGGUUGUCCGCGUCGCGAACUGCACGACUUGAGUACGCUGGAAGUGGGCGGAAUUCGUGGUGUAGCGGUGAAAUGCUUAGAUAUCACGAAGAACUCCGAUUGCGAAGGCAGCCCGCUGUUGCGUCACUGACGCUGAGGCUCGAAGGUGCGGGUAUCGAACA
rnacentral:rRNA from 1 species